CAAAAUAACUUUUUUGAUAUUUUCCUCUUUUUAUUCCAGAAUAUUCAACUAAAUUGUGCAAUGCACAAAAUGAUACAGAACAUACAUGCCAUGUACAUUAAUGAAAAUUGUUUUGUUUCAUAA